GCUGUGGUUCAGUGGUAGGACAUCUGCCUUACAUGCAGAAGGCCCCAAGUUCAAUCCUUGACAUCUCCU